UGGGACCCUUAUAGACAGGAUCAAGUGGACAAGAUUGAAGCAGUCCAGCGACGUGCGGUGAGAUUCAUAAAGCGGGAUUACGACUGGAACUCUAGUGUUACAAUAAUGAGACAAUCCCUUUCUUUGGAUCUGCUGAGUGAGAGGAGAAAGGCUCACCGUGUAAAAAUGUUUCAUUUAUCAGUAAAUAAUGGCAUUGCAUUGCCGAUACCUAAUUAUUAUCAACGUUCAAUGCGUCAUACUCGAAGUUAUUCAAGUAAUACAUUUAUACAGCCUAAGGCACGUCACGAUUAUUAUUUAUAUAGUUUCUUUCCCAGAACAAUCAAAGAUUGGAACAAUUUAUCAAUUGAACUUAGAGAAGAAAAUAGUUAUUCAUCUUUUUGUAAUAACGUAAACAAGUUCAUCGCCUAAUUUUUAUUAUCAUGCUAUUUUUAUUGUUUAAGUAUUAUCUUAUUUUAUAAUUUAUUUUAAUUUUUAUUGUAUAUAGUAAGUCGACUGAAUUUAUGGAUUACCUAUUUAUUAUUAAUUUAUAUUUAGAUUUAUAUAUUUAGAUUUAUAUAUAUUUUGUCAUCUUUUCUUGAUACGAAAGUGUUGAAAAGUAAUAAAGUAGAAGUAGAGCUAGCUCGAUUUGGAGAGCACUUAUGACGUCACUUCCCCAACAAGUCGGCUCAUUACAUUCAGAACCAUUGGCAAAUAGACGUGUAUACUUGGUGCCUGGCCUCCAAACAUCAAUAUGGAGCGGUUAAUUGGGAAGAAAGACGGGCCUGUUUUUAAAUUUGAUUACCUGACUGAGAUCUAGAAGAAACCUUCCGCAUUCUAAACCCCUGGUAGCCGAAGAAAACCGCCUUGAAUUACGAGCGUCUGCUAUAAAAAGCGAUCAUCUGUCGACCACGUGCGUAAUUUCAACACGAAAGGAAUCAACAAGUCCACCUCUACAAGGGUACGACUCUUAACAAGAUAUCUUUUAGAUUGUUCUUGGGUUACUGUAGUGUGUCAGAAGUGUGUUGGCACAACUAUGCUCAUUACCUCUAAUCCCUCACUGCCUAAUACAGUUUACAGUUUGCAGCAAAAGUUUGGUCUUUUUUCAUUUUUUUUUCAUUUUGGAAUAAGCUCCGUUUUAAACUAUCUAAAAAUAGUUAGCUUGGAGGCUGUCACAAAAUAUUCUAAUGCAUGGGAAAUUAAAUAAAAUAUGGAACUAA